rnacentral:rRNA from 1 species
AAACUGAAGAGUUUGAUCAUGGCUCAGAUUGAACGCUGGCGGCAGGCUUAACACAUGCAAGUCGAACGAUGACUAUCUAGCUUGCUAGAUAUGAUUAGUGGCGAACGGGUGAGUAAUGCUUAGGAAUCUGCCUAUUAGUGGGGGAUAACCAUCCGAAAGGAUGGCUAAUACCGCAUACGUCUUACGAGAGAAAGGGGGCUUUUAGCUCUCGCUAAUAGAUGAGCCUAAGUCGGAUUAGCUAGUUGGUGGGGUAAAGGCCUACCAAGGCGACGAUCUGUAGCUGGUCUGAGAGGAUGAUCAGCCACACUGGGACUGAGACACGGCCCAGACUCCUACGGGAGGCAGCAGUGGGGAAUAUUGGACAAUGGGCGAAAGCCUGAUCCAGCCAUGCCGCGUGUGUGAAGAAGGCCUUUUGGUUGUAAAGCACUUUAAGUGGGGAGGAAAAGCUUGUGGUUAAUACCCACAAGCCCUGACGUUACCUACAGAAUAAGCACCGGCUAACUCUGUGCCAGCAGCCGCGGUAAUACAGAGGGUGCAAGCGUUAAUCGGAAUUACUGGGCGUAAAGCGAGCGUAGGUGGUCAUUUAAGUCAGAUGUGAAAGCCCCGGGCUUAACCUGGGAACUGCAUCUGAUACUGGGUGACUAGAGUAGGUGAGAGGGAAGUAGAAUUCCAGGUGUAGCGGUGAAAUGCGUAGAGAUCUGGAGGAAUACCGAUGGCGAAGGCAGCUUCCUGGCAUCAUACUGACACUGAGGUUCGAAAGCGUGGGUAGCAAACAGGAUUAGAUACCCUGGUAGUCCACGCCGUAAACGAUGUCUACCAGUCGUUGGGUCUUUUAAAGACUUAGUGACGCAGUUAACGCAAUAAGUAGACCGCCUGGGGAGUACGGCCGCAAGGUUAAAACUCAAAUGAAUUGACGGGGGCCCGCACAAGCGGUGGAGCAUGUGGUUUAAUUCGAUGCAACGCGAAGAACCUUACCUGGUCUUGACAUAGUAGGAAUCCUGCAGAGAUGCGGGAGUGCCUUCGGGAAUCUACAUACAGGUGCUGCAUGGCUGUCGUCAGCUCGUGUCGUGAGAUGUUGGGUUAAGUCCCGCAACGAGCGCAACCCUUUUCCUUAGUUACCAGCGACUCGGUCGGGAACUCUAAGGAUACUGCCAGUGACAAACUGGAGGAAGGCGGGGACGACGUCAAGUCAUCAUGGCCCUUACGACCAGGGCUACACACGUGCUACAAUGGUUGGUACAAAGGGUUGCUACACAGCGAUGUGAUGCUAAUCUCAAAAAGCCAAUCGUAGUCCGGAUUAGAGUCUGCAACUCGACUCUAUGAAGUCGGAAUCGCUAGUAAUCGCAGAUCAGAAUGCUGCGGUGAAUACGUUCCCGGGCCUUGUACACACCGCCCGUCACACCAUGGGAGUUGAUCUCACCAGAAGUGGGUAGCCUAACGCAAGAGGGCGCUCACCACGGUGGGGUCGAUGACUGGGGUGAAGUCGUAACAAGGUAGCCGUAGGGGAACCUGCGGCUGGAUCACCUCCUUA